rnacentral:tRNA from 1 species
UUUUAUAUAGUUUAAAAAAAACAUUAUAUUUUCAUUAUAAAAAAAAAGAUUUAUUCUUUUAUAAAAU